rnacentral:rRNA from 1 species
GACGAAGGGGGCUAGCGUUGUUCGGAAUUACUGGGCGUAAAGCGCGUGUAGGCGGUUGGCCAAGUCGGGGGUGAAAGCCUUGAGCUCAACUCAAGAAAUGCACUCGGUACUGGGUGACUAGAGGACCGGAGAGGAUAGUGGAAUUCCCAGUGUAGUGGUGAAAUACGUAGAGAUUGGGAAGAACACCAGUGGCGAAGGCGGCUAUCUGGACGGUUUCUGACACUAAGACUCGAAAGCGUGGGGAGCAAACAGG